rnacentral:snRNA from 1 species
AAAAGGGGCUUCUGACCUGAGUGGCACACAUAGGGCAACUAACUCACUCUGAGUAUAGAAUCAACAUCAAGAGUUUCGGAGCAUAAUUUAUUGUCAGUAGGGCAGCUGUUGGUCCUGGAGGUCCUCACUCAA